GGUUGCGAUCAUACUAGCACUAAUGCACCGGAUCCCAUCAGAACUCCGCAGUUAAGCGUGCUUGGGCGAGAGUAGUACUAGAAUGGGUGACCCCCUUGGAAGUCCUCGUGUUGUAACCCCCG
rnacentral:rRNA from 1 species